AUGAGGGUACCUUGGACCAUAUCUUUUUCUGCUGUCCCAAAAACCAGUCCUCCCUUUAUGACCUCCUCCCUAUCAAUAUUCCUCGCCCUAUCAAUUUUAAAUCAAUUUUAUGUUAUAUAUAUUCAACAGAAUUUAAGGUAUUAUUAGACACUGUACCUUGUUUCUUCACCAGAUCCGCAAUAUAGAGCAAAGUCUACCCAAAAUCACUCUGACAAUGGCAACUCACUGAGGCCGCCAU